GACUUGAUUUUUCCGUUAUCGGCGCUUUAUUGGUCGAUUUGUGUAUUGAUUUCAUGUUUUUGCUUCCAACUGUUUUAACCUGAGAUUUCAGCAUGUAUAUAUGGGUUAAUUAGCUGUGAAUUAACCUUCUUUGACCAGGGUUAAGCUACUUUAAAGCUUAAUUAGGAUAAUUAGCCAUUUAUGAAGCUAUUUCGGACUAUACACGGUUUAUGCGAUCAAAUUGAUGCAGUUUUGUACGUUGACUUCGCAGCAGGUCUUCGAGCCUCGUUGAGCUGAACGUGUACUCGUUGAAGCUGGUUUGGAAGUUGUUCUACCCUAAGCAAGAGGGUGUUUGACCCUUGGACCGCCUUCGUUUGGCCUUGGAGGGCCUUCUGGAAGCUUAACGUGAGCAGGAUUGCGACCUAGUGGAGCUGAUCCUUGGAACUCCUUGGACUGUUUUGGAGCCUAGUACUAGGUGGGUCGGACCUAACCAGAGCAAGUGAAGCUCCUCUAUGUUCUAUAUGUAUUAUAGAAAUGUGUUAGUUGUGUGCUUAUGUGAUAGCUAAAGGGCUUGAGAAUUCGUCAUCAUAACAUUUACUAUAUUGACAUAGAAUCUCUAUGAAGUAGAGAAUCCUCACGCCUAAAUGUAUUCAUAUUCCUAUUUGGUUUAGUUGAAUAACAAUGAGACACGUUAUUAUGCUCAUGAAACGUAGAGAACAGUGACAUUCUCUUUUUACUCGCUUGAUUACAAGUAGAGAACAAUGACAUUCUCUUGACUCUGAAGUAGAGAACUAUGACAUGCUUGUGCCUA